rnacentral:rRNA from 1 species
CCUACGGGAGGCAGCAGUGGGGAAUAUUGCACAAUGGGGGAAACCCUGAUGCAGCGACGCCGCGUGAGUGAAGAAGUAAUUCGUUAUGUAAAGCUCUAUCAGCAGGGAAGAAAAUGACGGUACCUGAGUAAGAAGCCCCGGCUAACUACGUGCCAGCAGCCGCGGUAAUACGUAGGGGGCCAGCGUUAUCCGGAUUUACUGGGGGUAAGGGGAGCGUAGACGGAAGUGCAAGUCUGGAGUGAAAGGCGGGGGCUCAACCCCCGGAUUGCUCUGGAAACUGUACGGCUGGAGUGCAGGGGAGGUAGGUGGAAUUCCUAGUGUAGCGGUGAAAUGCGUAGAUAUUAGGAAGAACACCGGUGGCGAAGGCAGCUUGCUGGACUGUAACUGACGUUGAGGCUCGAAAGCGUGGGGAGCGAACAGGAUUAGAUACCCGUGUAGUC